UUCAGUUACCUCAUUGACGGGAAUCAUCACACUUCCUUACACUGUUUUCAGCCGUAUUGUCUGGAAAACACAGACUUGUUUUCUUAUUUGGAUAGCCUAAGAAAAAACCAUGAACAAGUCUGGAUGUUAUGGUUCUCCCGAGUGUUGCACAGAUGCAGAAAAUGUCACUUGAAGCUUUAACCUAUCAAGAGUAUAAUUGAAUGGCAGUCAAACAUUCACUGGGUUUAUUUCUUUGCCAAAGAGUCAGUCCUGGCAUUGUCUUUGGAUGGUAUCUUCAUUUUGGAAAUUGAGAAAAAUACACCCACAAAUGAUAAAUGUGGAGGGUACUAAACACAUACAGCUAAGAGAAAUAAAAUAUAAAUACAUUCACGUGAGCCAGGCUUGGUGGCUCAUGUCUAUAAUCCCAGCACUUUGGGAGGCCAAGGUCGGAGGAUCACUUGAGGUCAGGAAUUCGAGACCAGCCUGGCCAACAGUGAAACUCUGUCUCUACUAAAAGCACAAAAAUCAGCUGGGCAUGAUGGCACAUGCCUGUAAUCCCAGCUACUCAAGAGGCUGAGGCAGGAGAAUCACUUGAACCCAGGAGGUGGAGGUUGCAGUGAGCUGAGAUCGCGCCAUUGCACUCCAGUCUGCACAAGAGUGAAACGCUGUCUCAGAAAAAAAGAAUGUAUAUUCAUAUGAAACCUUCUGGAAGGCAUGGAGACAAACACAGGUACAAACUGGAAAACUGUUGAGUUUGGAGGGCUUACAUUGAACAAAUUGCUUCCAUCUGUGAAAAGAUGUAACAUUACCCCUCCUGGGAGAAGCAGGCACCCCAAUCUUUUAAGACGCCUCAACAAUCAUGGAAAAAGAGACAAGGAUAUAAGAGAAGCAUGUUCAGGUACUUGGUUGGGUCUUGCUGUAUUUCUUAGGUUUAAAAGGGUAUGAAAUUUAUCUGCUAGAAGUAUUCUCUGUGUCUCUGAUCUUUGAUCUUAGGUAUACCCAUAGCUCUUCAAUUACACUGAAUUACACUCUCUAAUUUAUCCAUUUGCUAUUCUUCCUUAUAAACAUUUUAAGCAUAAGCCAUUUAGGCCCCCAAAUUCAUCAGAUACCUGUUUUUCCAAUGCUAAUUCACUUACAACUCUCUAAGAAGAUGGUAUCUCCAUACUAAGCACAGUUAGAUUUUUGUUACUUGAUAAGCAGUCAAACCAUGUGGCAAGUCUGUCUCAACCUAUUUUUUUUUUUUUGCAUUUCAUAUUUUUUGAUCCAGUAGAUAAGUUUUAGAAUGACAAGUUGACUCAAGGAAUCUAGGAACAAGAGCAAGGUGACUUUUGGAGUGUUUUCAUCUCAGAGUAAGCAAAGAAUCAAAAUCAGACCUGGAAGACUUCUCUAUUUCUGUUUCAGCAGAUUUUUUAUCAAACACAUCCCUAUCCAUAUUUUUUUAUGAAGAAUAAAGAAACUGGAAACAGCA
rnacentral:lncRNA from 13 species